AUGAAGCAGUGGACAGGACAGUGAACAAAGGUGUACAAAGUAGAUCUCUAAGAAGUAAGAAUGGACUAUUAUUCUAGGAGGAAGCAAGGGAAUUCAGCAUUGGUUAGAAUAACAGGAAGGACAUGAGUAUUGUCUAUUGUGUCAUGUGUACAAAGUACAAACUAGAUCUAGGAGGAAGCAAGGGAAUCCAGCAUUGGUUAGAAUAACAGGAAGGAAAUGAGUAUUGUCUAUUGUGUCAUGUGUACAAAGUAUUAGGUUAUGUCCAAGUUAAAUUCUCUACAUCGUUGUAUAUUCUUGUCUACAUUCAUGAAUUGCAUCUUGUUCAUUAUCA